UAAUAAACAUUCAGCUAAUACUCUGCUGCAGUCAUUGUCAAAGUAGGGGGGCGGGUUACAGAGGCGCAGUUGCCGACAUGGUUAUGGGACAAGCUAGCUUACAAGCUAGUUACUGGUCAGGAUUGCAUAUGUUGCAAAUUUGUUCAUAACUUCGGUUAACAAGAGGAACAGGACACUAUGUGAGGAGCUUCAUGUCUCCCACCUGCUAAUGUCAAGCCACCAGCCAGAGCAUCAUGUUGGACUGCAGCAUCCAGCCGGAUGCAACAUCCACAGCCUUUCCCCCGCCAUCCCUCGCUUGUUCUCUGUCCUUCACCUGCAGAUUCUUCAGGUAUCAAGCCAUGAAUUUGGUCAUAUCCUGAAGAAACUGAAGAAAUCAAUUGAGCUGUUACUCAAGGCCGAUGACUACACACUACCAGAUGUCACAGUGGAACUUGCAGAAGUGAAAAAACACUUCAGUGACUUGACGAAAAGCCAGUGAGAAAAAACACCAUAGAUUUGGUUUGCUCACUGUGGAAAAGCAGCAGAUGCCUGACUACCAGAUAAAGGUCCCUGUGGAUCUGCUGACUUGAGAUGUGAGGCCUUGUGAGUUUCAGAAAGAUUUUAAGACGUUUUUUUCCUCAAUAGGACAUUUUUCGAUUUUAAUUGAUUGAAUCAGAGGCAGACAGAGUGUGUGUGUGUGUGUGUGCGUGUGUAUCACAGCAAAAUUCCUCAGUCAGAUUUAAACCAGUGACGCUGUGGUUUCAUUGUACUGGUCCUAAUGACCACUCCAUUAUGAUGGAGGGACAAUUUAUUUUUAAUUUUUUUUCCUUCUUGAGUAUAUCUUUUAUGUUACUUGUUCAUGUUUUUAUUUUUUUAGUUUAGUAGUUAAGUUUUAGUUGAGUUUAGUGGUUGACUGGGAUCAAUGCACUGCAGUUUAAUUGAUAUUUUAGUUAUGGGUGAUUUCAUGAGACUCUUGAACUUUGAUUACAAACUGUAGGUUGGAUAUAACAUGGACAUUAGGCUUUCCAAUCAAAUAAUCUUGAAUGACCCUUUUGUCUUAAUGCUAAAUAAUUGUUUGUGUGUUCAUAUAUGAGAAAUAGAGAGAACUAGAUGAUAGUGAUAAACCAACUGAUUCACAUUCACAUUUUUCCUUUAAAGUUUCUCCAAUCUGUUUUUGAUUUUGUAUACUGUUCAAUAACAUUCACUUCUGAAUGAGAAUGCCACUGGUUGUUUGGCUUCUUUGUUGUUAAUGUUAUCAUUAAAGCACCCAAACACUGC